UACGUAGGGUGCAAGCGUUAAUCGGAAUUACUGGGCGUAAAGCGUGCGCAGGCGGUUUUGUAAGUCUGACGUGAAAUCCCCGGGCUCAACCUGGGAAUUGCGUUGGAGACUGCAAGGCUAGAAUCUGGCAGAGGGGGGUAGAAUUCCACGUGUAGCAGUGAAAUGCGUAGAGAUGUGGAGGAACACCGAUGGCGAAGGCAGCCCCCUGGGUCAAGAUUGACGCUCAUGCACGAAAGCGUGGGGAGCGAACGGG
rnacentral:rRNA from 1 species